CCAAGAAAAAUCACAAGUUACAUUCAAAUUCAUAAGUAUAAAACUCAUUUACUAGCAUUCAUGCUAAACAAAAAUUUCAAGCUCCAAAUUCCAUCAUUAUUUAAGCCAAAUCAGUACAAAAUAUUUAAAAAAAAACCUCCUGCUUUCCACUUUAACCAUGCUGUCCAAAAAUUGCCCAAAGUAGCUAAACAUUCAUGCAUCAAGAAAAAACAACAAAUUAGUAUGAAAUUACUUUUAAUUCACCACUUUAUGGCUCAAAAACUCCCUCCAAUUCCUCUCAAACUCACCCUAAUCCCGAGCCUAUAUAAACCAACACAUUCUACACAAAUGGGGCAGCCACCAUCAAAGGAGAGAAAAUGA